UACGUAGGGUGCAAGCGUUGUCCGGAAUUAUUGGGCGUAAAGAGCUCGUAGGCGGCUUGUCACGUCGACUGUGAAAACCCGGGGCUCAACUCCGGGCCUGCAGUCGAUACGGGCUGGCUUGAGUGCGGUAGGGGAGACUGGAAUUCCUGGUGUAGCGGUGAAAUGCGUAGAUAUCGGGAGGAACACCAGUGGCGAAGGCGACUACCUGGCCUGUUCUUGACGCUGAGGCGCGAAAGCUAGGGGAGCAAACGGG
rnacentral:rRNA from 1 species